UGGUGGAGUGAUUUGUCUGGUUAAUUCCGUUAACGAACGAGACCUUAGCCUACUAACUAGUCGAUUUCAGUCUCGACUGACUUCCGACUUCUUAGAGGGACUUUGUGGAAAAAACACAAGGAAGUUUGAGGCAAUAACA
rnacentral:rRNA from 1 species